ACCGUCGGGAAGGGUGAUAAUUCUGAUGGUUCCAGGUCCACCAUCUCCUUUAACAUCGACACUCUUGUAAGCUCCGGGAGCAGCCUUGGGGAUAACUGUAUCAACAUCAAGGACUAUAGCCUGGAAUAUUUUUUCUGCUGACACGGACGAACUGAUCUCGAGUACAUGGCUCUGGGCACCCAUGACUAUCGAAAAAUGAUCACUGAAAAUAAGUUGCAGAAAGAGAGCUAAAGGAAUUAGGCUGUAAGACUAAUGUGAUGAUAGUAGAACACGAAGAACACCUAUUUAUAGUGCGAGAACAUGAGCGCUGAGACGUUGAUAAUUUGUAUUAAUAUGAUAGUGCAUGGUUUAUUCUUAUCCUCAACGUAAUUAAAAAAUCUAUUUAAAAAACAAUACCAAUCGACAGACAAAAAGUUAGUGCAAUGUUUGUUAAAAAUUAAAAAGUUAAAUUCUAGAAACCAUUUGCUAUCUUUAGUUUCAAAGGUCAAUUAAUGUGCACCGGGUGAAUAAUGUUAAGUAAUCCAACAUGGGUAGAAGGUUGUCGUGUCGUGUAUUUUGUAAAAAUACUAAUUUGUUUUAUGUUUUGUAAUGAGUUUUAAAUGUAAACACAAUAUCAUUUAUCGUUUUCUUUUUCAAAAAUCAAUAUGUCAAAUUAUCUGAUAUCUAUUCCAGGCUGUAGCAGUGGCAUCCAUGUGUAUCCAAGAGGAGGGUGCUGCCCGUCCACCAAUCCGUAAUGUGGUAGCUGCCUUGUCUAAUCUUGCGAACCACGCUUAUGAGCUAAUUAGCUCAGCAACUGGACAGGACUCCAGGGAAUGUGAAAAUAGAGGUGAUGAAAUUACAGAGGCAGUCUAGAUUCUUUAAGACUGAUGCUGGGGCGUAUCAGGUCCCAAAUGGGACUUAGAAGGUUUUGGAAAGAAUUGUUAGAAAAUCCUGCAGGACCGCAACUUGUUUGAGGGUAAUGAUAAAAGAUCUCAGAUAAUUUGGAGAUUAGAUUCUAAGCCACGGGUCGUAAAAUCGUUUCCAGGACAACUGAGCAAAGAUGUCUCAAACACUCAAGUAAGACCUUCCCAAACGUAAUAUUUCUAUUUGUGCAUGGAUGAUUUCACCAGUGCCAUGUUUUUUGCUGGAGGUUAAAUUACCCGGUAACUCAAGUUUCUUGAACAUAUAUUUGUGUUCUGACAAAUAUAAAGAUACGACUACAUUAUUAGUUGUAUAGGUGAAUAAAUAGAUCAGAAGUCAUAACUUACAUAGAUAGACCGUAGGGGAUCUGGAAUCAAGUUGGGGGUUGGGACUUGGGGGAUAGAUCUUGAAUCUUAAUCCAAGUUAAAAAAGGUAAGAAAUCUUGAAACGAAUUAAUUAUGUUAAAACACACUACUUAGCAUUUGUGGAAAAAUUCAUAAAUUAUACGCAUUGGACCCUAAUCCCGGACACUCUCGGUGGGCCUGCCAGGCUGCCACUGAUAUUUUCCAGAAUAAAAAAAGCUUCGAUGCAACUUUAUCGGUGAGUCAUCGGUGAAUAGGAAUUAAUUGGAUAUUAAUUAAGUUAUUAGUGAGAAUUAAUCAAUUUAUCGAAUAAUGAAUAGGGUGUUUGGAACGACGACUUCUGGGCUUAGAAGCUCAGAAGCCCGUUUCAACUUUUUGUGGUAUGUUUGGCAACCGUCCUGAAGUGGUUAAUCAAACCAAAAAAAGCUCAGAAAAAAAGCUUCGUUGCCUAGCUUUUUCUUCAUACUUGGCUUUUUCUCAAUACUCAGCUUUUUCCUUUCACUGGCGCUAGAUUACGAUGCAUUAGUAUUUAGUCUAAAAGUAAUUCGCUGCAAGCUAGUAAUUGCUAUCGUUUUUGUCCAAUAAUUUUUUUAUUUUAACUAGUUGAGAAUCCGCGCGUUGCGGCGGCCUAUAAAAAUUAUAUUAAUGAUCCAAUAUUAAUAUUUAUAGAAUAAAAUAAUUUUAUGACUGUCUAUAAAAAGUAUAUUAAUGUUUCAAGUUAAUAUUUGUACGAUUAAAUAAAUUUAUAUUAUAAAAUUCUCGAUGUAAUACAAAUACUAAUAUAUAAAAUUGCAAAAUUGGACUAUAAUUCAUGGUGAAAAAAUGACAAUAAAUUUAUACACGUAAAUAACAAUUUAAAGCGUGACGAAUCUUAAAAUUUUAUUUUUUUUUUGGAAAAGUAAUCAUGUUCUUACAUUGUCACCUUCCUCUAAUUUUUUUAGAUUGAUUGUGCACAAAAACAUUUAACUUAAAUAUAACUACCCUCUUAAAAGUUGCUUGAACGGAGCAAACAUAUAAUGCAUGAAUAAUUUUUUCAUGUAUACAAAGUAAAUAAUAUAAAAAUUAACAACAACAAACAUGUCCGAUGAACAAAACAAAUAUUAUAAAAGAAUAACCAACAAACAUACAUCAUUAAUAGUUAAUUAAUUGACAUCAACCAUCGAUAUCCUAUCAAGACUAUAUUCUUUCCCCGUGUUUGGAUUUGUCGACUCCAAUAUAACGGUCUAUAACUACAUUUGCUUGCAACAACCUUCACUGUAACAGCCUUCACUUAUCGUUGCAGAAUAACGACACCUCCGAGUUAAAAAUCGAGCAAGAGAAAGGUAUUUUCAAUUUUUGAUAUUUUUCAUCCAAUAAUUUCAGAAAAUUAAAAAAUAAAACGGAGCGAUGUGAGAGGCACCACCUACACGCCCCUCGCUUCUCCUUUAAAAAUCGAGUAAGAGAACUAUCGGGUAGAUUUGUGGUAUUGAGAGAGGAGGUUGUGUUUUGAUGAUCCAAAAUAUUACGAUCUAUACGGGUAUUUAUAGGUGGAGAGAGACUUGUUUGCUACUCUUUCCCAUAAUUAAAUAAUCUGCACAAAAUCAGAUUAAAAUUUUCAAGCUACUAUAUUCCAUAAAUAAUCUGUCUUUCCCAUAAUUGAAUAAUCUGAAACAAAAUCAUAUUAAAACUUUCAAGAUACUAUAUUCCAUAAAUAAUCUGAAACAAAAUUGAAACAAAAUCAGAUUCUGAAACUUGCUUCUAAUAUACCCGAAACUAAAAAAGGUAGUUCUAAUUUUUAAUAUUUUUCAUCCAAAAAUUUCAAAAAAUUAGAAAAAUAAAACAGAGCGAUGUGAGAGGCGCCACCUACACGCCCCUCGUUUCUCCUUUAUAUAAGUAUAUUGAUUUUUCCUAAACUAUUUCAUAUAUUAAUAAUAAAAGAUACCUUUUUACUUGUAUUAAAUGAAUAUAAGUUUUAAAUAAAGGAUUUAUCUUUUUACUUGUAUUAUCAGCAGUUAUUAUUUUUUUUAAUUAGUGCGGAGUUUAAAAUUUUGUAUUUAUAAAUCUUUCAUGUAUUAAUAAUAAAAGGUCUUAUAUUAUAAUAAUUUAUUUUUUAAAAGAAACAAAUUAUUAUAUUACAAAAUUACGAAACUAUACCAACUUAUAAGUUAUGUUAUCCAAACACUUAAAAAAUUAUAAGCCACGGUAUCCAAACACUUUUAAUAGCUUAUAAGUCCAGACCAACUUCUCACUUAUAAUCCACUUCUUUACUUUAAGCAAUAAGUUACUUCUUUUAAGCCCAGCCAAACGCCCAUUAACCGAAAUUAUAAGCUCACCAUCAAUCUUAUCUUCUUCUUUUUUUUGACAGAAACAUCUAUCUUAUCUAAUAUUAUAAAAAAAAAAAAAAAGCAUUGGUGAACAUGAAUUAAUCGAUUAAAGAUGUUUUAUGAUCGUGUUUGCAUGGUCUUAAAUUCAGGUUUUAAGGUCAUUUUGACUUUGAAUUUGAAAAAAAAAUCGUUUAGUGAGUCCGAAGUCAAUUUAAAGUCAGAAAUUGAUUUAAAACUAAAAAUUAAUUAAAAUUAUUUUUUCAGCGAUUCAAUUUUUUCAACCUGUUUUGAUAAAAUUUAUCCAUAGACACAUAAGUUACUUAGAAUUUAUUUUUAUUUUUAUUUUUAUAAUUCCUAAACUAUUAAUAUGUUAAAAUUAUCUAAAUAAUAUUUUAAAAUUUCAAUUUAUCACGACGUGAAAUUAGAAUUCGCAAUUGUGCCAAAUGCCUUUACAUGAGAAAUGUAUAGACAUGUAUAAAUGGUUUAUGGUUAGUGAAAGUUCUAAGAAAGAGUCCUUUAAUAGGUUAAACAGAAGACAAUAGGUUCUCUCUGCAUACGCGUUUCUUAGUGUGGAUAAAAUCCUCCUAUUUCCCCAACACACUCUAUGCAUCCAUUAACAAAAAUGGCUUUCGACAGCACUAGCAAAGCAGUUGCGAAAGAGGCAUGGUCUGAACUAGUGCAUUCACUUCUGUCGUGGACUCCCUCCACUGAUAUGUCCAUGGUAUAUUACUACACUAUACCAGAGGACCACUCGAACCGCUUAGAUUUAUACAAAUAUAAGCUAGGUACCGAGAACAUCGAAGCCAGAAUUAAAUCUGGUCUGCAUUCUCAACUGGUGCAGCCAAAUUACCAAGGGAUCGAGCAUAUUCGAGAUUGUAUACGAUCAAGUAAUGGUAAUUAUGUGGUGAAAGCAGGGGAGCGUGAAGAUGAGCAAGGGAUUGAGUAUGUUCGAGUUUGUGUGAGAUCAACUAAUGAUUAUCAUGAUGUGGAAGUAAGUGAAGGUGAAAAUCAGCUGGGGAUUUCGGAUAUUCAACCUUGUGUGAGAUCCACUAAUCGUUAUUCUGCGGUGCAAGUAGAUGAACAAGGAAAUCAACUACUAAUGAACAGGAUCACCUACGAGCUAGUGAAAAUUAUGGCAACUUUAUUUGAUGACUUGUUCAAUUUCAUUGAGAGUUACAACAUGCACGGGGUAGAGAAGCCAACACUGCGGUUUCAAGUUCUGGAAUUAAUUAAGCUUUUACAUCACUAUGGAAGUGAUACUAUUCGAAGCGCAGUGGAGGAAGAACUUGAGUAUGUGAAUGAGAAGAAUUCAGCAACACAGUACAAGAAAGCUCUGGAAGUAAUGUUGAGAGUAUGCGAUACGGGGAUAAGUCAAAGUAUUUUUUACGAAAUAAUAGAAAAGGCAGAAACGGAUCAAGUGCUCUAUGAAUGGUGAGGAAUAAAUGGAGUCGUGCGGGUUAGCUUAAAAAAAAUGACUUCUUUCUUAAAAUAAAGAAUUGGAGUAGAAGUGAGAAGUAAAUUAAUAAUUAUAAAUUAUUAACGCAUUUGGAAAAGAAGUAGAAGUUGUAAAGAAAAACUAGCAUUUUCUAUUUCCAACUUCUUUCUCAUGACUUCUUAAAAAUACUCCUUACUUCUUCACGCAAGGAAAGUAGAAGCAGAAAGCUGGAGUUACUUCUUAUAAGAAUGUUUGUACUAAAUGAGAAAUGAGAAACACAGAAUUGAGAAUGAAUAUGAUUAUUGGUUUAAUAAUAGUGCAUAUUAUUUAAAAAGAUCGCAUACAUUACCAGCCAGAUGAAGUUAUUCAUCACAAGUCACAACAAAGUACAAAGAGAAAGUUGCAAUUCUGUCACUGACUGUCACUCACUCUGUAAAUUAUGAAGUUGCUCGAAAACAAAACACAAAAGAAAACGUUGCAAUUCCUCCGCUCUCAUAAAAUUACGAAGUUGAGAGCUCAGCUUAAUUAGCAAUGAGGUAGGCCUCAAUAGCCUUGAAAAGAGCAGUGUUCUGCUCAUCAGCAAACUUGAUGUUCUCCUCAGGAACCACGGCAUCGCCUUUGGUGUGGAAUAUGGCAGUGGUCUUAGUAAUGCUACCUCCGUCAGCAGUUGGCACAACGACCAUAUGGGUUUCAAUGGAUUCGAUGAAUCCUAGAAGGAUGUCUCCAUCAAUGACUGUGGAAUCGUAUGUCAAGGCCUCCUUGUUCACUGCAUCAGUUCUAACAGUCAUUGUGGUGAUUGGGCUACCUGCAACAGAAUUAUAUAAAAAUUUAUUUAAUGUACAAUUUCAGGAAAUAAUCACCUCAAAUCAGUAUGAUAUCAGAAAUGAUAUAUCGAGAAGAAUUGGAUAUAUAACUAACCUUCGGGAAGGGUGAUAGUUCUGAUGGUUCCAGCUCCACCGUCUCCUUUGACAUCAACACUCUUGUAAGCUCCGGGGGCAGCCUUGGGGAUAACAGUAUCAACAUCAAGGACGAUGCCGCUGAAUAUUUUCUCUGCUGAGACGGAAGAAGUGAUCUCGAGUGAAUGGCUCUGGGCACCCAUGAUCUUUAGGAAGUUAUUGCUGAAAUUUAGUAGAAAGAUUAAGCUCAAGGUUUAUGCUGGAAGAUUGAUGUGAUGAUAGUAGAGCACCAAGAGCACCUAUUUAUAGUACGCUAACAUCAAUGUUGAGGUGUUGAUAAAUAUUACAAUAAUGCAUUUUUUUAUUUUAAAAAGUUUAGAAAAGGAUUCCAAUCCGUUGAAAGAAAAGUUAAAGCUGUGUUUGUUGAAAUUUCAAAAGAUGUAUUCUAGAAGGGUCCUGUUCCUUGACAACCGGUUGUUAGAUAAGGGUUAUCUAACACACUGUACGGGGGCCGUUGGAUUUAUAUUCCAAGGGCUCAGAUUCAAUUUUGGGUUUUUAAUGUAUCCGCGGUUAUUUUCCGCGGAAGGGAAAACUCCCUAUCCGCGGUUAUUUACCGCGGAAGGGAGUUUUCCCUAUCCGCGGUUUUUUAUAGCGGAUACAUUAAAAUCUCAGAUUGGAUCUGGGCCUUUGAAAUAUAGAUCUAACGGCCCCCGUACAGUGUGUUAGAUAACCCUUAUCUAACAACCGGUUGUCAAGGAACAGGACCCAUUCUAGAAAGCAUUCACUAGUUUGAGUUGAAAGGUCAUAGAUGUACACUGGACAUACAUUGUUCAAACAAUCCAGUGUUGCUCAAUAAUUUAUUUAAAAUUUCUGACACAAAAAUAACUAUUUAUUUAAAAUUUUAAAUCUUGUAUUAAAAUUAUUGAAUUAUUUGUUUUUUUCAAAGAGAGAUUGUCCUUUUUAUCAUUGGUAGAUAUUUUAUCUCAUUGAAUUUGUUUUAACAAGGUUUUAAUGGAUGAGUAAGUGAUCCCUAUUAUAAUGACAAUCCGAGAGACAUAUUAUAAAACGAUUUUCGUUUUGCGUCAAUCACAUACAGUAUUAUACUCAUCCUUGUAAAUUUUUAGCCCUGUAUAAAAUUUCUAUAUGCUCCAGAUCAGUUUACAUUACUUAUAAAGAAAUGAGCUCACAACAACUAAACACACAGCAGCAAGCUCUUGUUUUUACUUGCUUUCUGUUUACUAACCUCUCUUACUUAUUACUAGUAACUUAAUUAAUAGCUCUAAUUCUAAUGUCAUGGUAGAUCCUAUAUUAUACUCCCUCCAUCUCAUUUUAAGUGUCCUGUUUUGACUUUCAACGGUCAAAUUGACCAACUUUUGACCAAGCAUAAAGAACAAAUUCGUUAUUAUUUUAAAAAACUAAAAAUUACAUUUUAUAGUAUAUUGUAUGUACUUUAAAGUGACAUAAAUUUUUUUAUUUUUAAAAAUUAUAUUAUAUGUGUAAAUCUCAGUUAAAAUUUGGUCAAUUUGACCAUUCAAAAGUCAAACAGGACACUUAAAAUGGGAUAGAAGGAGUAAUAAUUAUCUAUUUAUCACUGACCAAGUCUAGGCUGUUCACCAGCGUCCAUUUUUGACCUAAGUCUCUUGUCGUCUAAAAGUAUUACGAAUAUCCUCUUGUAAGUGUAAACAUAUAUACUGAUGACGUUUGACUUUUUACACGUGAUUUUGGGGGCUUUGACCGUAUAAGAAAUAUUAAUAUUUUUGCAAUUUUUUCUGAAUAAAAAUAUAACAUAAAUAUGUUUAUUUAUAAAAAAAAUUAAAAAAUAUUAAUUUUAAACAUGUGGUCAAGCCUCCCAAAGAUACGUGUAGAAAAUCAAACGUCCUCUAUAAUGGAUUAGAGGGAGUAACAAACUGGUUAAACGGGAAUUUUACUUAUCCUUGGGUGGGCAUUAUUUUACAUAUAAAAAACAUUUUAAGAAGCAUUCGGACAAAAGUAUAGUAGGUGGAUAGAGUGUUGUGUCGGGUUUUGUCAAUGUUGAGGGCUGAGUAUGAGCCACUUGUUCUUUGUUUAAAGACUCACAGUACAAUGUGUAUUAACCUAAGUCGUCCUGCAUGCGAAUUUGGUUAAAAUAGAGGUUACCAAAUUAAAAUAUAUUAUCUUGGAAGACGGUGUUCACCGGCCAGGUAAAAUUAUUAGAAUUUGUUGACACGUUAAAAAAUAGGAAAAUGCUAGAUGAACAGAAUUGGGUACGAAAGCAUUCAUAUAAUGAGUAUGUGUCAACUUUUAAUUGAAAUGGACCCCCUGUAUAUGCAUUAAUAGUACCAAUCAAAACUUUCCACCUCAGUUGCCAUAUCAUUUUGUGCAAAAUUCUGUACCCAAUUUUGUGCAUGUUAGCACUACUCUAAAAAAUAACCCAUGUUCACGUAUUGUUAUCCUAAAAUUGAAAGAUACAUUUAUGAAUGAUCUUGCACACAUGCCCCGUUUCAGCUGAUAUAAUUAUAUAAAAAUGAUAUUUUAACAACGGUUUUUCUAGUGUGUGCCUAUGGGCACAUGCUAAGCGCGGAAUUUGAGAAGUUUGGGAGAUUUUGAUUGGCUCUCAUAUCUUAAUAAUGGUAGACCCUCCUGCAAAUAUACCAACCACACCAAUCAAAAUCUCCCAAACAUAUCAAAUUCCGCGGACGCACACUGGACAAACCCUUUUAACAAAACUAAAUCGCACUGAAAUUUUGCUAACAGAGUCAGUUUUCUACACACCAAAAAGUUUCUAGCAUUAUCCUCAUCUGAUCUAGACACAUGAGUUUUUGUGCAUAUCUUUGGGGGACCCUGCUCAACUGUUUUGCUACUGUGAUUUAAAGAACGGGCCACGCAUAUUAAUCUUUUCUUUAAGUUUAAUUAUAUACAAUUCUAGGCUCUUAUCUUGCUUGAUAGGAACCUUGGUCCCUGGUAUGUGUAUAUCAAAAGACUUAUAUAACAUACAGAAUUUUUAUUGCAACAAAAUCCUGUUAUGUUUAGUGGUUUUCGUAAAUAUUCACUUAAGUUUCAAAUGAAAAAAGUUCAGGAACAUAAUGAAAUUUUGUUAUAAUUCUACUCGCCGGAUAUAUCACCCAACGGCCAUAUUUGUAAUCGAAAAAGAAUUUCUAAAUGCCCUGUUUGGAGAUUAGCUGUUAGCGGUUAGCUGUUAACGGAUUAAAUUAGAUAUUUUGACCAGCGGAUUGAAAUAAAUGUUUUGAGUAGCGGAUUGAAUUAGCUGUUAGGCAAAAUAAGUUUGUAAAGAUUGCCAUGAAGUUUACCAAUCCCCAUCACCCUCUUCAUAGGGUCCUGAACAAUACAGUGAUGAGCAUUAAAGUGAACUUCAAAAUUUGAUGAGGAACUAAGUUUACUGAUUGACACCAAAUUAAAGUGAAAAUCAGGAAUGUAUAGGACAUCAUGAAGGAUUAACUCUGAAGUUAACUGAAUUUGUCCUUUAGUCUUGACAUGUGCAAUGUGUCCAUUUGGAAGGCAAAUGUUUAUAUCACAAACAAUAGGAUUAAUCAGCAAAGUAUUGUGACAUGUUAUGUGAUCAGUUGCUCCAGAAUCUAAUACCCAAUCCAAGGAAGUAUGACAACUAGCCAGGCAAAUAGUAGUCAUUGAGGAGCAGUAAUUACCUGACUGUGGAGGAUCACCAGAAUGAGAGUUAGUAGAAUGAUUGAGAAGAGCAAGCAGCUGGUGGUACUGAUCAUCAGUGAAACCUGCAGAGGAGUUACUUGCAGACUGAGCAGUAGAGUUAUCUCCAUUAUCACCAACUUUGUUGACCUGAGCAAGGACUUUAGAACCAGAGUUUGGUUGAAACUUAGGUUUGCCUGCUGGUUGUUUUGCUCUUGGAGGAAAUCCAAUGAUAUGAUAGCAUCUCUCCCUGGUAUGAUUAGUUCCAUGACAGUGAGUGCAUUCCAUUGUGCCUUUCUUUGUCUGAGACUUAGGAUUUCCAGAGUUUGACUUCUUGAAGUUGGAUUUGUUUCCAUCAGUGACACUUCUAGUCAUGAGAACAGUAGAUUCUGGUACAGAUGUAUUGAAACUUGAGUAGUUUCUCUGCCUCUCAUCUUGCUGCAAUAGACUAAGUGUUUGUGUCAUCUUUGGAAGUGGAUCCAUCAUGAGAAGUUGACCUCUUAUAUUUGUGAAAUUCUCAUUGAGUCCCAUGAGAAACUGAGUAACUUUCACUUUCUCUUCAUAUUGCACAUUUUCAGACUUAGCACUACAAGUACAUUUUGGAGCAUUUGAUGCACUAACCAUAUCAUCAUAGAGUUUCUUGAAUUUUGUAUAAUAUGCAGAAAUAGUCAUAUUUUCUUGAACUAGACUAGCUAGAUCCUUUCUGAUCUCAAAGAACCGUGGUCCAUUGUUUUGAGUAAAUCGAGAGUGCAGAUCAGACCAUACAACAGAAGCAAGUGUAUCAUACACUAAACUAGACCUAAUUUCAGGAUUUAUGGAGUUCAACAACCAAGUGAUGAUCAUGUCAUUGCAUCUCUGCCAUGAAUCAAAGUAGGGAGAGGUAUUACCUGGAGUUUUGUAUUUUCCAGUGACAAGCCCUAACUUGUUCUUUGCAGAGAGAGCACGACUCAUAGACCUUUUCCACUCAUUGAAGUUAUCACCAGUAAGCAAUUCAGCGACAAGUAUCUGUCCUGGAUGAUCUGAAGGAUGCAAAUACAGUGGAUGACUUGAUUCCAAGCUAAUUGUAGUGAAAUCGCCAUCAAAAUCUGUAACUGUUUCUUCAUUAUCAGACAAAUGCGACGCCAUUAAACUGUUUGACAGAAUGUUUCAAAGAGACUUUAACACAGAUCUAUCUGAAUUGCUGCGAUUUACAACAACUCAAAUGUACAACUACGUGAACAAAGAUUGAGUGGUGGAGAUGAUGAUUGAGCGAUGGAAAUAGCGUUAGCGAUAAAGGAAGUAGCGGUGAGUAGCGGUGUUGUGCGAUGGUGAUGAACGAGUGUGUGCGGCGGAGACGAUAACUCGAGGAAAUUGCGGAAAAACGAGCGAACCUCGCUCUGAUACCAUGAGAAAAUUCUAAAUGGAAAGAAAGAAAUUUCAGAGAGUAAAACCAAAAAAAAAGUGUAUUCAUCUCUGAGCUAUAGCUCUGUUUAUAUACAAGAGUGCACAACUGAAUUCUGUUACACAAGUUCCCGCUCAACUAACAAACUUGAACAGUAUGAAAUGACUAAUAUGUCCUUAAGAUAUUUCUUGUAUUCUUAUUCUGCCCUUGUCCUUGCUGGCUUGUAUCUGUGGUAUAUUCUCCUCAAUAAAACUGUUUGGUUAAUAGCUGAUUGAUUAGUUUUUUCUGAUCCAAACCAAAACUUCUAAUCCAAAAAACUCCUCAAACUAUCUUUUUCAAAAUUAGCUUUUUGGUCUAAACCUCUAUAUCAAUCCGCUAACUACCAAACAUUUAUAUUAGCGGAUUCUAGUUGUCAAACCUCUAAACCACCCCAAAUUUCUAAUUUUGUCCCAAACCUCUAACUUUCAAAUAGGGCCAAAAAUUCUUAUGUAGCUCUCUCUUUUACAAAACCUUUGUUCAACAUGCGAUCGAGGUGGUCAACAACAGCGUCUAGAUGCCACCCACCAGUUAUCAGGCUUAGUGUUGGACGGCCAACCGAGGAGAAUGUUUGCCGAGUCUUAUCAUUCUCACUUAAAGAAAUACUACUCACUAAUUAGAUUUAUCUAUUUGGGGCACUGGCUUCUUUUUUUGUCAUCGUUCAUUUUUUAAGUUCUAUAAUCUUUGUAAUUGUUAAAUAUUAUUGUAAAUGCUUUUCCAACUUUUUAACUUUUCUGUAUAAAAUAAGCUUUUACGAUCAUAUUUCUCUUAGAACCCAUAGUAAUUUAACCAAGAUUCAGCGGCAGAAUUUGCCUUAUUUUGUAGUUUUGUAUUCUAAGCUGAACUUUUAUUUUGUAUUGAAAUCAUGAGAUAUUUUUUGAAUUUUAUCAGAGAUUUUUUGAUUAUUUUAAAUUAUUUUGACAAAUCAUGAUAUAAUAAAAUAAAAUACUUAUUAUGAAUUAAUCCGAAAAUAAUCGAAAAAUCAGGAAUUACUAUCCCUUAUUCCCUUGGAAUAUAGUAAGAGCAUCUCCAGCAGAGUCCUAACAUAUUCCCUAAAUAUAUAAUAAAAUAUUCAUUUUUUAAGGGAUCACUACAUUUUAUUGAAUCGAAACUCCAACAACAUUCUCUAUUUUUAUUCCCUAUUAUUAUUAUAAUAUUAUUUAUAUUCAACUUGUAAGUAGGAGAGAGAAAGGAGGGAAAGAGGGAGAAAAGUAGAGAAGUGAAUAUUUUAUUUUUCAAAAUAGUAUGAGGAAUGGUUCCACAAUCCUUAAAAAUGAGGAAUGAAGUGGGCAUCCUAAUUUUUUAAGGGAUGUCAUAUUCCUUAUAUUGAUAGCUUAGUACACCAUAUAGGGAAGCUGAGAUGCUCUUAAUACACAGCAGACACGGGUGGAGCCGAGGUUAGUGGGACCAACCAACUUUUAAUAUUUGCUAAUUUUGAAAGCAGGAUCCUCUUCACAAAUGCUGAUGCAGGAGUUAACCUCCACCGGAGUUGCUCUAACAACUCAGCAACGGCGGGGUCUCCAGCCUUGUACUCACAAAUCAAAUGUGGCAUUACUAGCUAGAGAGACCGAUAAAGUCCAGAAGUAUGCAAACAUACAUCAUUAAGGUUUGAGGGAAUAACAUUUUUAGCUAAUAAUUUAAGUAAAAUAGUAACGCAUAGACGAUUCAGAAAGAUUACAUCAAUACCGGUAUUUUAUUUCAUUUAAAAAGAUUACAAACGUUACAGAAUGAAGUUGCUCAUUAAAACAAAGUACAAAAAAAAAAAGUUGCAAUUUUGUCGUCCACUCAUAAAAUUAUGAAGUUGAGGCAUCUCUCCUUCUCUUCCCAUAAAUUUAAAAACGACAGAUUAUUGUAACACGGUGGAGAGUUCAGCUUAGUUAGCAAUGAGGUAGGCCUCGAUAGCUUUGAAGAGAGCCGUGUUCUGAGCAUCUGCAAACUUGAUGUUCUCUUCAGGAACCACGGCAUCGCCUUUGGUGUGGAAUAUGGCCGUGGUCUUGGUAAUGCUACCUCCGUCAGCAGUUGGCACAACUACGAGAUGGGUUUCAAUGGAUUCGAUGAACCCUAGAAGGAUGUCUCCAUCAAUGACUGUGGAAUCGUAUGUCAGGGCUUCCUUGUUAACUGCAUCAGUUCUAACCGUCAUUGUGGUGAUCGGGCUACCUGCAGCAGAAUUAUAUAUGUAUUCAAAAAAAAUUAUUUACUGUACAAUGUCGGGAAAUAAUCCCCUUCAAAUUAAUAUGAUAUCAGAUAUAAUACAUCGAGAAGAUGGAGUUGGAUAUAUAACUAACCUUCGGGAAGGGUGAUAAUUCUGACGGUUCCAGCUCCGCCAUCUCCUUUGACCUCGACACUCUUGUAAGCUCCAGGGGCAGCCUUGGGAAUAACUGUGUCAACAUCAAGGACAAUGCCGCUGAAUAUUUUCUCCGCGGAGACUGAAGAAGUGAUCUCGAGUGAAUGGCUCUGAGCACCCAUGAUAUUUAGAAUGUUUUUGCUGAAAAUUAGUGGAAAGAUUAAGCUCAAGGUUUGUGGUGUAAGAUUGAUGUGAUGAUAGUAGAGCACCAAGAGCACCUAUUUAUAGUACGCUAACAUCUCAAUGUUGAGGCGUUGAUAAAUAUUAUAAUGUAUUUUUUAAUUUUAAAGUUUAGAAUAGGAUUCCAAUUUGCUGAAAGAUAAGUUAAAGCAAUGUUUGUUGAAAAUAAAUGUACUCUAGAAAGCAUUCACUAGUUUAAGUUGAAAGGUCAUAAAUGUACACCGGACAGACAUUGUUCAAACAAUCCACUGUUUGCUCAAUAAACUUCCCCUGCUCAAUAACUAAAACGAAUUUUCUAUGGUGUGUCCAUGGACACGCAAUAGUCACUAACUUUCAUGAAAAUACUAGCUUUUGAUUGGUGGAUGAGUAAUAAAUGUUAAUAGUCCCUCUGGAUUCACACCAAUUCCACCAAUCAAAACAAGCUUUUUUCAUGAAAGUACGUGCUUAUUGUGUGCUUUUGGGCACACAUUAGAAAGACCGUAACUAAAAAUAAGUUGUAAAAAAACUACAAGAAUUUAAUUCAACUUCUUAUAUACAAACUUAUAAGUUAGAAAUUGAUUUAUUAAUCUUUUAUAUAAACAGUACCAAUAAAAUGUAGCUAUUCUGUUUUACUCAUGUACUAAAUUUGUAUAUGCUCUCUUGAUCAGUUUAUAUUGCUUAUAAAGAAAUGAGCUCACAACAACUAAACACACACCAGCAAGCUCUUGUUUUUACCUGCUUUCUGUUUACUCACCUCUCUUGUCAAUUAGUAACUUAAUUAAUAGCUCUAAUAUUGUUACCGUAGAUAUUCCUAUAUUACAAUAAUUAACUAUUUAUCAGUGAUUAAGUCUAGGUUAUUUACCAGCGUCCAUUGUUGACCUAAGUCGCCUGCCGUCUAUAAGUAUCACGAGAACUAACUUAUCUAGUAGUAGGUCAUGUAAACAUAUAUACUAACAAACCAAUUAAAACGGAGUUUUACUUAAUUAUACUUAGGGCUUUUUUUUACACUAGUAUAAAACAUUUUGAGAAACAUUCGGACAAGAGUAUUGCGUUGGAUAGGGUGUUCUGUCCUGUUUUGUCAAUGUUGAGGUGCUCGAGUAUGAAAUAACCAUUUAUUUUUUGUUUAUAGAGUCACAGCAUAAUGUUUAUUAUAAUUUGAUUAUAAAUGAAUUUAUAAUUUUUUUUAUUUACCUAAUCUAUAGUAACGACAUUCCACAAACGCGUCGCUAGUAUUUUAGGCGUCGGCGUUCUAAAACAUAAUAAUAUAAGAGGUCCAGUCCAAUUGCAUUCCUAGCUGGUCGACAUUUCAAUACCCGACACUAUAACUAAUUUAAGACAUUGGCAUUCUGAAGCCAGACGCAUAUAAUGGUUUAAUGUCGGUUAAAUAUGGAACGGAUGCAGAAGGUCUAGAGAAAUUGUCAAUAUGUGUCGGUUAAGCCAGCACCCGACACAUAUGACACAUAUGUGUCAAUACGGUCGAAAUUAUAUUUCGGUCGAAAUUAGCCGCUUUUCUUGUAGUGUGAGGUGUCUAAGACGACGGUUUCUUAUAGAACCGACGCAGAAAGUGCGACGCAUAAAAUCAAUUUUAUACUGGCGUAUAAAACGUCUGCAUGUGAAAUUGGUUGAAAGAGAGCUAACAAGAUUAAAAUAUAUUAUCACGAAAGACGAGGUUCCCCGGUAGGAAUGGGCAUCGGGCCCCUUCGGGUCGGGGAUUGCUAUACCCGGCCCCGAUCCCCGAAUCCAAACUCAAUCCCCAUCCCCGGCCCGAUCCCCAUCGGGGAUUAUUUUUCGAUCCCCAUCCCCGGCCCGAUCGGGAUUCGGGGAUACCCGCGGUGAUUCGGGGAUUUUUAAUUUAAGCUAAAAUUUCUAUUUAAAUACUUAAAUUCAUAAUUACAAUUAGUUUCUAAUAUGUCUAAUUAAUACCUAAUCAUUUUAAUAAACAGAUCUUCAAUGAUUUAAUUAUGACCUUUUUAGUUUUAAGACUUAUAUUAAUAGAAAUAAUUUUUUUUUUGAAACAAUAGAAAUAAAUAUUAAAAUUUAUUUCAAUAAAUUUAAUUAUAUUAAAGAGGUAUAUAAACAUGUUAAUAAAUGAUUAUAAACAUGUGAAAAUCCAUGACUGAAGUUGACCUAAAGAGGUAUAUAGCAUGUUAAUAAAUGAUUAUAAACAUGUGAAAAUCCAUGACUGAAGUUGACCUAAAGAGGUAUAUAGCAUGUUAAUAAAUGAUUAUAAUAUAUAUAUUUAUAUAAUAUAUAAUAUAUAAUAUAAUAAUCGGGUCGGGGAUCGGGUCGACAAUCGGGGAAAAUCGGGCCGGGGGAAUGUUAAAAACCGUACCCGAUCCGAUCCCCGAUUUUUUUUCAAAGUCAUCCCCGUUCCCCGGCCCGUACCCGAAAAAAUCCCCGAAUCCCCGCACCAUUCGAUGCGGGGAUCGGGUCGGGAUCGGGCGGGUCGGGAUUAAUGCCCAUCCCUAUUCCCCGGGCAGGUAGAGAAUUACUCCCUCCGUCCCUCCCAUUUCUUAUCGAAUGGGUUGGGCACGGAGGUUAAGAAAUAUGAAUAAAGUAGUUCAAAAUAGAAAGAAAAGUGGGUGAAUUGGUGGGACCCACUAAUUUUUAAUGUAUAAAAGGGAGAUAGUGGAGUAAAAGUAGUGUGAAAAGAAAAGAAAAGUGGAGAAGUGGUGGGACCCAUUGACCAUAUUUGGUAAGUUUUGAAAUGUAAAGAAUUGGAUGGGACACCCCAAAAAGGAAAGUGUAAAGAAAUGGAAGGGACGGAGGGAGUAGCUUAUUACUGUAGAUCAUAACCCCAUAGUGUCAAACUUCCGCAAAGCAAACAAUUUUCAAGCAUUAUCCGAAUCUGAUCUAGACAUGAGUUUUUGUGCUCAAACUGUCUUGCUAAUGUGAUUUAAAGAUAGCAAGUCCAAGAGAAGCCUUAAAUCAUGUCCAUAAUCAAAAUUUAGGGCAUUUGAUAAAAAGGAUUGUUCCAACAAUGUCCUAGUGAUGCCUUGUAUCACUAGUACAAUCCAUUUAAGCCCUAUUUUUGAGGCAUUCUCUCUCCUUGCCCUAUCCCAUAUUUUAUAAUAAAUUCCUACAAAUACUCUCUUUCUCUCUCUACUUUAUAUUAUGUUUUAAUGAUGAAAGUGAACUUUUAAUAAUAAAAUAUUAAACAUAUAGUGAAAAUAAGGCACAUUGUUGGAGUUGAAGUUGGUAGAAUAUGUCCUAAACUACUAGGACAUAAUUUUUUAUAUUAUAUUUAGGGCUCUAACUAGGACACUGUUGGACUUGCUCUAAGUAAAUAAUAACACUAUAGAAAACUUUUAUUGAACAUGCGAUGGAGGUAGUAAACAACAGCGUCUAGAUGCCAAGAAUAGACCCAUAUAGGGGGUGUUUGGCAAACCGACUUCGGAGCUUUUUUAACAUAGAAGUCGACUUCUACUUAAAUGGAGGUGUUUGGCUAAUUAUGAGAAGCACUUAUAUUGAAGCUUAAAAGCCCCAAAAAAGAAGUUAGGAAACCUAGCUUAUUUUGGGGAUUUAGCUUCUUCUAUCACUUAUAAUCAAUAUAUAUUCAAACACUUUUAAUAACUUAUAAGUCCAAAUCAACUUUUCACUUAUAAUCUACUUAUUUAUUUUAAGCAAUAAGUCACUUUUUUUAAGUCCAGCCAAACUGCCCCAUAGUAAUAAAACAUCAUUACAAUUAAUCACCAGUUAUCAGGCUUAUAAGGGUUGGAUGGACUAACUGAGGAGGUUUACUGAGUCUUAUCAUUCUCACUUAAUGAAAUAAUUAAAUUUAUCUUUUUGGGACACUGCAAGCUUCUUUUUUCUGUCAUCGACUCAUCGUUCAUACUACAAAUUCUUUACUCUUUCUAAUUUCAAACCGAAACUUGAAAUUAAUUAAUUGGGAUGACCUAUAUAUCAUUAAGGUUCAAGUGAAUUACAUUUUUAACUAAAAAAUAUAAGUAACAUAUGAAAGCACAGAUGAUCCAGAAAGAUUACAUUAAUGUCGGUACUAUAUUUUAUUUAAAAAGAUUACACAUAUUGUUACCAAAUGAAAUUGCUCAUUAAAACAGAGUACAAAGAAAAAGUUGCAAUUCUAUCGCCCGCUCAUAAAAUUAUGAAGUUGAGGCAUCUUUGGCGCUCUUCCCAUAAAUUUAAAAACGACAGAUUAUUAAAACACGGUGGAAAGUUCAGCUUAGUUAGCAAUGAGGUAGGCCUCGAUAGCUUUGAAGAGAGCGGUGUUCUGAGCAUCUGCAAACUUGAUGUUCUCUUCAGGAACGACGGCAUCACCUUUAGUGUGGAAUAUGGCCGUGGUCUUGGUAAUGCUACCCCCGUCAGCAGUUGGCACAACGACAAGAUGGGUUUCAAUGGAUUCGAUGAAGCCUAAAAGGAUGUCUCCAUCAAUAACGGUGGAGUCGUAUGUCAAGGCCUCCUUGUUGACUGCAUCAGUUCUAACCGUCAUUGAGGUGAUCGGGCUACCUGCAGCAGAGAAUUAUAUAUGUAUUCAAAAAAUUUAUUAAUUGUACAAUGUCGGGAAAUAAUCCCCUCAAAUUAAUAUGGUAUCAGAAAUGAUACAUCAACAAGAUGGGGUGAGAUAUAUAACUAACCUUCGGGAAGGGUGAUAAUUCUGACGGUUCCAGCUCCACCAUCUCCUUUAACAUCGACACUCUUGUAAGCUCCAGGGGCAGCCUUGGGGAUAACUGUAUCAACAUCAAGGACAAUGCCGCUGAAUAUUUUCUCUGCGGAGACUGAAGAAGUGAUCUCGAGUGAAUGGCUCUGGGCACCCAUGACCUUUAGAAUGUUUUUGCUAAAAAUUAGUAGAAAGAUUAAGCUCAAGGUUUGUGCUGGAAGAUUGAUGUGAUGAUAGUAGAGCACCAAGAGCACCUAUUUAUAGUACGCUAACAUGAAUGUUGAGGUGUUGAUAAAUAU
rnacentral:lncRNA from 1 species